AGCAUCUGUCGCAAUUAGCGAUCUUUGUCGCCAGCCUUUUUUCCUCCUUCCAAGCAUGUUUCUCAGCGCCUGUGAGGCUUAAAACAUCGACGAACUUGCUCUGCCGGCUAAGCCUUGGCUAACCUUGGUCUUUUUACCAACAAUGCACAACAUCACACGUUAUACACACAAAUUGAGACCUCCAUAAAGUCAAGAAAAGUACGCCUUGUCUGUGGAGAGUUUCAUAUUUUGGUUCGCAGGCUGUAUAGCAACACACGUGACGUGUUGUGAGGACAGCACACAAGCAGAAUACAGCUUGAUGAAAGCCCCUUCAUCAAUGACAAGGUUGUGCAAAAGAUGACAAUUGUGCCCACUCUCAACCUGACCGUCAGAUGCACCGUGUACAAUGAGUUUGGUAUGGACACGUGGUACAUAACUGUGUCUCCUCGUAAGUACGGCACAAUCUGUCAGACACUGUCAUUCACUAACCGACUCUCAUCUUGCUUUCCUGCCACCCUCGACACAGCUAACCAACUCUGACCAGAUGUGACACAAAUCGUGCUCAUUUUCACUUUCUUUUAUAGCUUUCUUUUUCUAUGACUAGAAAUUUUUGGCAGGGGAAAAAUGCAAGGAAUGAAACACAAUCGGCAAAAGUUUUAAGGCAUAACAAACACAGGAAGUGACCAUGGAAGAAAAUGUUGCAUUAUCUCUUCAGGUGAUCCCAAAAGCCUUUGUCCCUUCCUGUUAGGUUAUUUCAUUGUGAUGUAUAAAAUGAUUAACUAAUUGGCUGCCCUUCCCAGUUCAAAUGAAUUGGACUUGAAUCACAGUCAAUGAGUUAAAUUAUGGAGUAAAAAACUGUGUAGAGAAUGUAAAAAAAAAUAAAUAAAUCAAAGGUAAUGCUGGGGGCCCACUGAUCACAACUUUCUGCCCAAUCACCGAUUUUUGAAAAAGUCUGACGAACCCAUCUUGACUUUUGCUAAUCCAGAUUGUUUUCAUUCACUUUGUGCACCUAUGACAUUUUAUUGUAAAAUGGUGACCAUUAUGAAUGAAAAAAUGUUUUUAACUGUUCUGAAGAAGAAAAAAAAAUCUUUCCAAAUUCAAAAAUUUUAAAUCCAAUGCUUUCUUCUACACUGUAAUUUCAUUACAA